rnacentral:rRNA from 1 species
GACGAACGCUGGCGGCGUGCCUAAUACAUGCAAGUAGGACGCAGUUGCGAACGGGUGAGUAACGCGUAGGUAACUACCUAUUAGAGGGGGAUAACUAUUUGAAACGAUAGCUAAUACCGCAUACUCGUAGAUGGACCUGCGUUGUAUUAGCUAGUAGGUAGGGUAAUGGCCUACCUAGGCAACGAUACAUAACCGAACUGAGAGGGUGAGCGGACAAAAGGGGAAUGAGACAAGGCCCAGAAUCCUACGGGAGGCAGGAGUAGGGAAACUUCGGCAAUGGGGGGAACCCUGAACGAGCAACGCCGCGGGAGGGAAGAAGGUUUUCGGAUCGUAAAGCUCUGUUGUUAAGGAAGCGGUACUUAACCAGAAAGGGACGGCUAACUACGUGCCAGCAGCCGCGGUAAUAC